AUAUACAUACAUUAGUACCUAUUUAGGGAACAAAGAAGAGACGUACAAGUUAAUCGUAUAAUGUAUUCAAAAUAAAAAAAGGUACCAGACGGUCGACUUGUGUGCAUGGGUGUGUCUUCGUUCCUCGCUCGUCAUCGUUGACAAAACUUAGUGGAGAAGUCGUAAUAUCUAACCGCUGCCGACGAAAAACGCAGUAAAUACGCCAAAAUGUUCUUACGCCUUGCAUUUCAAUUAAUGUAUACAAUAUUAUGAACAGAUAAAAAACCGACUAUGUAAUAGACAUAUUUUAUUAUAUUGUAUGCAGUCACUCGCCUGGGCGCCACAGAGUCUACAUAUUUGUAUCUGGAUUAUUAUUCAAAAAAAGCAAAACUGUUAUUUAACAUCCAUAACUGCAAUUUCCAAAUU